rnacentral:rRNA from 1 species
UACGGAGGAUGCGAGCGUUAUCCGGAUUUAUUGGGUUUGAAGGGUGCGCAGGCGGAUUUUUAAGUCAGCGGUCAAAUCGUGGGGCUCAACCCCAUCCAGCCGUUGAAACUGGGGAUCUAGAGUGUGCGAGAGGUAUGCGGAAUGCGCGGUGUAGCGGUGAAAUGCAUAGAUAUCGCGCAGAACCCCGAUUGCGAAGGCAGCGUGCCGUGCCGCCACUGACGCUGAGGCACGAAAGCGCGGGGAUCGAACAGG